GAUGAAGAACGUAGCGAAAUGCGAUACGUAAUGUGAAUUGCAGAAUUCAGUGAAUCAUCGAGUCUUUGAACGCACAUUGCGCCCACUGGUAUUCCGGUGGGCAUGCCUGUUCGAGCGUCAUUAUCCUCCCUCAAACCCCGGGUUUGGUGUUGGACCCAAGUUGUGUGAACAACUGGUCUUAAAGACAAUGACGGCGUCCGUGGGACCCUCGGUGCAACGAGCUUUUAGGAGCACGCAUCGAGUUGCAAGGACCUUCCGGGCCGGUCUCCUUUACUAUUUUACAAGGUUGACCUCGGAUCAGGUAGGAAUACCCGCUGAACUUAAGCAUAUCAAUAAGCGGAGGA
rnacentral:misc_RNA from 1 species